UGGGGAAUAUUGCACAAUGGGGGAAACCCUGAUGCAGCGACGCCGCGUGGAGGAAGAAGGUCUUCGGAUUGUAAACUCCUGUUGUUGAGGAAGAUAAUGACGGUACUCAACAAGGAAGUGACGGCUAACUACGUGCCAGCAGCCGCGGUAAAACGUAGGUCACAAGCGUUGUCCGGAAUUACUGGGUGUAAAGGGAGCGCAGGCGGGAAAACAAGUUGGAAGUGAAAUCCAUGGGCUCAACCCAUGAACUGCUUUCAAAACUGUUUUUCUUGAGUAGUGCAGAGGUAGGCGGAAUUCCCGGUGUAGCGGUGGAAUGCGUAGAUAUCGGGAGGAACACCAGUGGCGAAGGCGGCCUACUGGGCACCAACUGACGCUGAGGCUCGAAAGUGUGGGUAGCAAACAGGAUUAGAUACCCUGGUAGUCCACACCGUAAACGAUGAUUACUAGGUGUUGGAGGAUUGACCCCUUCAGUGCCGCAGUUAACACAAUAAGUAAUCCACCUGGGGAGUACGACCGCAAGGUUGAAACUCAAAGGAAUUGACGGGGGCCCGCACAAGCAGUGGAGUAUGUGGUUUAAUUCGACGCAACGCGAAGAACCUUACCAAGUCUUGACAUCCUGCGACGGACAUAGAAAUAUGUUUUUCCUUCGGGACGCAGAGACAGGUGGUGCAUGGUUGUCGUCAGCUCGUGUCGUGAGAUGUUGGGUUAAGUCCCGCAACGAGCGCAACCCUUACUGUCAGUUACUACGCAAGAGGACUCUGGCAGGACUGCCGUUGACAAAACGGAGGAAGGUGGGGAUGACGUCAAAUCAUCAUGCCCUUUAUGACUUGGGCUACACACGUACUACAAUGGCGUUAAACAAAGAGAAGCAAGACCGCGAGGUGGAGCAAAACUCAGAAACAACGUCCCAGUUCGGACUGCAGGCUGCAACUCGCCUGCACGAAGUCGGAAUUGCUAGUAAUCGCAGAUCAGCAUGCUGCGGUGAAUACGUUCCC
rnacentral:rRNA from 1 species